UGACUGGUUGUGUAGUUUGAGGAAACAAGUUCAAGUUAUUGCACUCAGGCACUUUCUCAGUCGCCUACACUGGGUCCUUCGUUCCUCCCGUAGUGUCCACGUGGAGAUCAUCAUGCGCUCGUAAAGUGCUACUGGACGUGUUCAUUGUACAGCAUAUGGCAGGAAGUGGCUGGUGUGCUAAGUCACAUGUCGACACCAUGAGGACAAGGAUCAACCGUGUGCUUUUGAACUCCAGGUGA
rnacentral:lncRNA from 1 species